AGCCGCCCCCACCGCCUCCGCCCCAGGCAAGGCCGGCCGGCGCCGCGGAAAGCAGCCUCGGGGAAGGAGGAGGAAGAGGGGCAGGUGUAGGGAGUGAAGAAGCAAAAAGAGGAGGAGGAAGAGGAGCUCAGGGCCGUCCCCGCGCAAUUAAUGGGCGGCUCCUGCGCCCUGGACCGGCCCGCCCGCCCAGCCCCUCGACCCCUGUAGCCCCGGCAGGGGAGGAAGGGCAGACCCACAGGUCAGGGAUUAGGAAUCAUGUUGCAUGACGCAAGGGACAGGCAGAAGUUCUUCAGCGAUGUUCAGUAUCUGCGGGACAUGCAGCAUAAGGUGGACUCUGAGUAUCAGGCUUGUCUGAGACGACAGGAAUAUAGAAGAGACCCAAAUGAGAAGAAACGCGAUCAGUUUUGGGGGCAAGAGACAAGUUUUGAGAGAUCCCGGUUUUCUAGCAGGUCAUCUUCCAAACAGAGUUCUAGUGAGGAGGAUGCUCUAACUGAACCAAGGUCAUCUAUCAAGAUAUCUGCAUUUAAGUGUGACUCCAAACUUCCAGCAAUUGACCAAACAUCAGUCAAGCAGAAACAUAAAAGUACCAUGACUGUAAGGAAAGCAGAGAAAGUGGACCCCAGCGAACCCUCUCCAGCAGAGUCAGAGCCGACUUGGUGGAAUAAACCGGAAACAGACCUCGGAGGACCUUCUGGCUGGUGCAGUCUGGGGAAGAAAGGUCCCAUGAGCAGAAGCAUCCCUCCCUGUGAAGCAGACCAAGCACCAAUGGUUUUAUUAAGAAAGAGGAAGCCAAACCUGAGGAGAUUUACAGUCAGCCCAGAAUCGCACAGCCCGAGAGCAUCUGGGGACAGAAGCAGACAGAAACAGCAGUGGCCUGCAAAGGUGCCGGUUCCCAGGGGAGCAGAUCAAGUAGUUCAACAAGAAGGCCUGAUGUGUAACACUAAGCUGAAGAGGCCAAAUCAAGAGAGAAGAAACUUGGUCCCAUCGUCACAGCCAAUGACUGAGAACGCCCCUGAUAGAGCCAAAAAAGGAGACCCGAGUGCUCCUUCCCAGAGUGAGCUGCAUCCAGCCCUGUCCCAGGCCUUCCAAGGAAAAAAUAGUCCUCAAGUAUUGAGUGAGUUCUCGGGGCCACCACUCACACCCACCACUGUAGGAGGGCCAAGAAAGGCAUCAUUUAGGUUCCGAGAUGAAGACUUUUAUUCCAUUUUGUCAUUGAACAGCAGAAGAGAAAGCGAUGACACUGAAGAGGAAACCCAGUCUGAAGAAUGUCUGUGGGUUGGUGUGCGCUCACCCUGUUCUCCUUCCCAUCACAAAAGAAGUAGAUUUGGGGGGACAUCGACCCCUCAGGCCAAAAAUAAAAAUUUUGAAGAAAAUGCUGAAAAUUGCAGAGGUCAUUCUUCAAGAAGAAGUGAGCCCAGUCAUGGCUCAUUGAGAAUAAGCAAUGCAAUGGAGCCAGCAACAGAGCGGCCUUCUGCUGGGCAAAGGUUGUCCCAAGACCCCGGGCUGCCUGAUAGGGAAUCUGCUACAGAGAAGGACAGAGGUGGCAGUGAAAAUGCGAAAAAGAGCCCUCUUUCGUGGGACACCAAAUCCGAGCCCAGACAAGAGGUUGGUGUCAAUGCUGAAAAUGUAUGGAGUGAUUGUAUUUCUGUGGAACAUAGGCCUGGCACCCAUGAUUCUGAAGGAUACUGGAAAGACUAUUUAAACAGUUCUCAAAAUUCUCUUGACUACUUUAUUUCUGGCAGACCAAUAUCUCCAAGAUCAUCAGUGAAUUCAUCCUAUAACCCUCCUGCAUCAUUCAUGCAUUCUGCUCUGAGAGAUGAUAUUCCAGUAGACUUGUCAAUGUCAUCGACUUCAGUUCACAGCUCAGACUCAGAGGGAAACUCAGGGUUUCAUGUUUGCCAACCACUGUCUCCCAUUAGAAAUAGGACUCCAUUUGCCAGUGCCGAAAACCAUAAUUAUUUCCCAGUAAACAGUGCACACGAAUUUGCUGUCAGGGAAGCAGAAGAUACUACUUUAACAAGCCAGCCUCAGGGGGCUCCACUAUAUACAGAUCUCUUACUAAAUCCACAGGGCAAUUUGUCCUUAGUGGAUUCUUCCAGCUCCUCUCCAUCAAGAAUGAACUCAGAAGGCCAUUUGCAUGUGUCUGGGUCUCUGCAAGAAAAUACACCAUUUACUUUCUUUGCAGUGUCUCAUUUCCCAAAUCAAAAUGAUAAUGGGAGCAGGAUGGCAGCCUCUGGUUUCACAGAUGAAAAGGAAACCAGUAAGAUAAAGGCAGACCCUGAGAAACUCAAGAAAUUGCAAGAAAGUCUCCUGGAGGAGGACUCCGAGGAGGAGGGAGACUUGUGUCGCAUCUGUCAGAUAGCCGGGGGUUCCCCAAGCAACCCCCUCCUGGAGCCUUGCGGCUGUGUGGGAAGCCUGCAGUUUGUUCAUCAAGAGUGCCUGAAAAAGUGGCUGAAAGUGAAAAUAACAUCAGGAGCAGAUCUUGGUGCCGUGAAGACCUGUGAGAUGUGUAAGCAAGGCCUGCUGGUUGACCUGGGUGACUUUAACAUGAUUGAGUUCUACCAGAAGCACCAGCAAUCUCAGGAUGUGUUGGUGUUGCGAGAUCCCAUAUAUUAGCUCACUUUACUAUCAUGCUUUGAGGAAACAGGCAGAACAGAGGUUACUUCCCUUCCAUUACAAAUUGAGUCCCUUUGGUCCUGCACAGUUAAAACUCUGCCUAAAGUCACAGUGUCCGGUGGCCCUGCACUGCCCACCUUAGCCGGCAGCGCUUUCCAGGCCAAGGUCAGCAGAGCACAAAAAACACGACCAAAGGCUAAAAAUAGGAGGCUAACUGCUAAGGACAGAGGACUGGGGCCUUCGAAGAUGGAUCUGUAGAAUGGUGGAGAGGCCUGCAGCAGUGAUCUCAGGGCCGGCUGUCACCAAGAUCCAGAGUUGGCCCUGAUUCAGAAGGAAGAGCAUAUCAAUCCUUGCUCAACUUCUGUGCCUUUUCUGGCAGCUGCUUGGUCCUGGGAGAGGUGGGUUCUGUGCCAACCUCCUGAGCUGCCCUGGAUCUAAUGAGAACAGGAAGAUGUGGCACCCGCGCUGCUGCAGGAAGAAGGCAGAUGAGACACUGAGUGCUCACUGUGUCAUUCAUGCCCACGCAUCGUUAUCCUGGGCCGACAGAGUCACAGUUGCAAGCUUUCCCAAGGGUGACGGAAGGGGCCAUGCCCUCUGCUGGGGACUCUAUUCCCCGGGGGCUGGGUGGCUUUGUGAGCACAGCCUGGCCCAUCCCAAGACCCCCACUCAAGGGAAAGAUGGGGACUGAAAGGGCCUUCCCCUCCUUCCCCUAUAGAGGGAUAGGAGUAGUUGUUACUAAUACCACUGAUUUAUGGAAGGUCUGUGAAAGGUCUAGAGUGAGCACAGCCACUCUUGGCAGCAAAGCCCAAGUGCUAAGGACAGAGAAGUGCCAUGGGCAGCCAGACCAUCACAUCCUCCCUGUGUAGCGCCUGUUCUGAGCACCAGCGAGAAAAAAAGCACAGCCCACUCCUCAAGAGAAAGCGGAAACGUUAACAAGUGCAAAAGGUGAUAUGCAAGAUCAAGACGAAUGCUUAGGGACUGGGAAGCAAAGGAAUGAUGGGGGCAAAGGAGGCUCCUCAGGAAGCCUUUCACAAGGGGACAUCUGUGACUGCUGAGAACGUUAUGGACAAGGCCUGGUGCAUCUCUGUUGUAGCACCCGACACAUCCAGCUUGUACUGGAGCUGUUUACCGAUGAAGCUCUCUCCCCCACACCAG